CCAAUAGCGUAUAUUAAAGUUGUUGCAGUUAAAAGCUCGUAGUUGAAUUUCGGGAUUGACACAUCGGUCGUGCCUUAAGGGGUAUGAACUGGUGUAGUCAGUUUCUCACCUUCUGGAGAACCGCGAUGUCCUUAAUUGGGUGCCGCGAGGAACCAGGACCUUUACUUUGAAAAAAUUAGAGUGUUUAAAGCAGGCAUUUUGCUUGAAUACAUUAGCAUGGAAUAAUAAAAUAGGACGGAUGGUUCUAUUUUGUUGGUUUCUAGGAUCACCGUAAUGAUUAAUAGGGAUAGUUGGGGGCAUUAGUAUUCAAUUGUCAGAGGUGAAAUUCUUGGAUUUAUUGAAGACUAACUACUGCGAAAGCAUUUGCCAAGGAUGUUUUCAUUAAUCAAGAACGAAAGUUAGGGGAUCGAAGACGAUCAGAUACCGUCGUAGUCUUAACCAUAAACUAUGCCGACUAGGAAUCAGACGAUGUAAUUUUAAUGACUCGUUCGGCGCCUUACGGGAAA
rnacentral:rRNA from 1 species